CUCUGGCGUGAAUUCGGGUACGUCUCAGCUUUGUUUGAGUCUCCAGGUUCCAGUCGAAAACAUGGGCUCUGGAAGCUCCUGUGAAUACUCACAAGAGAUUUAUGACAGCUGUGCUCUCAAUAUUUAUGAAAGAGCCUUACGGGAAACAUGUAUCAUUCCAGAUGUGGGCCUAGACCGGUCUCUGCUGAAGUAUUCUGGUUUGAACUCCAACGCUGAGCUGCAGACCUACUCCGAUGGUCUGGUCAAUCAGAUUCCAGAAUACGUUGAGAAGUUGGGAUCUAGUUUGAGUUCGUGUACUUUAUUCCCAAAUGCUGUUGGACUCGGAGCAUUGAUGAUUUCCAUGAUCAUAGAUAUUUCCAUGAAGAGCCACGUUGCAACUUCUGAUGAUUCAUACAGCAAGUUCCUGCAGGCAUUUGGUGAAGAGAAGGCCUCAGGAGUCCGGGACACUGUGUCGGAAAACUCCCUGCUGCUUGACGGACAGAUGAGGAGCCGUGGGUUGAAGAUCUGGGUGAACGGAGCCUCCUUCCACGUCCAGAUGUUGAUCCAUCAGGCUCGACUGAAUCACACGACUGGCAUCAGUUCGAAGGGCUAUGUUCAUGUCAUCCAAGCUGCCCUCACUACGUAUCUACAGGACCUGGAUCAGCUGCUGGAGAAACACAGGAAGGACUUCGCCGGUCAUACUGCUGUCGGUCAUGAAAUGAAUUGCGGUGGUGACAAUAGUUGUCUUUCUGGACUGAUGUCCGUAUGUUCUUUACAAAACCCUAACAUUAUGUGUUUAUUUCAACUACAACCAGCUGGAAAAGACCUCUGCAUCAGCACUUCUAAUUAUCAAGUGUACGGCUCUGGUGGAACUUUAGACCACAACACUAAACAAUUGUCAGAUUCUUUUAUUAAUCAUAUUUUCUCAAAACAUCCACCACUCGCAGGUUUAAAGAGCCAUUUUUCAAACAUCAAGAACAAUCUAAACUAUUACAUCAACCAACAUGAUGAAUUCACUCUGCCAUCAGCCCGUUAAGUUGUUGUGAGGUUUAAAGAGCCAUUUUUCAAACAUCAAGAACAAUCUAAACUAUUACAUCAACCAACAUGAUGAAUUCACUCUGCCAUCAGCCCGUUAAGUUGUUGUGAGGUUUUAAAGUUAAUAAUUAACAGCAGCGCAUGUUGUCAGUGUUUUGUAUCUAAAAUCAUGUGAUAUUUUUAACACACAAUGAACGCAGAAAGACAUUUGAUUUAAUGUUUUCUUUUAAUUCUUAAGCCAAACCAGCAUGUUUCAUAUUGUUCAGCAUCAUUUCUCUUCAUUUUCAUGUAUUAAAUACAAAGUGCAUUCAACCCUUUGUGGACGUGUUUAACAGGAUAAAUGUUUUUCCAUUUACAGAUGAGGCGUUAUGCGUCAAAUUCUUACUAUGUGUUCAACAUAAAUGAAGUGAAUCCAGUGACUGGAUGGUGCGUCACUCAGCUGGAAGUAGUACAGAUACUCACAGUCACUCGGCGCUGUGAGGAGGGAGCUUCUUGUGAAGUGAACUCCAUCAGCGUGCUGCCACCAUGUGGUUCACAUAUUCACUUACACCACCCAGCGCCCCACACUGAAUAUCUGUAAUCUGUGACCAUGAGAUGAUUCAGCCUGAAGCAUGUCCAGGACUUCCAGAGGGACGCAGGACAUGUGGUGCUCAGGUCCAUUUAUUGGUUGUCACGUCCUCUGAGCCACUAGAGGUGUGUUCAUCUGGGAACACAUUCACUGUAAAACACCACAGACAAGACGAAGCACCAGACAAACAGAGACAGAGGGACGGACGGGGGACAGGUGGACAUUGCGAGUCACAUGUUGGGACAUUCUCUGUCACGAGUCCUGCAAUUCCUUUGCAAGAUGCAGCUUCGUAUGUAUGAUCAGGGCUCCAGACUAACUCUUCUCACUGGGAGCACAGUGGCCCCUAACUUAACAUUUAGGGGCGCACGCUAUAAAUCGACUCGUCCCACCAUUUUUACUGUAUUACUGAUAAAUAAGUUUAUAAGAAACUUGUGCAAUAGUUUUAAUAACAUACACCAGUUAUACAGCUUACAAAUACAAAAUGAAUAUUUAUGCUCUACUGACGACAGAACAAGUUAUGGACAUAACUUGUGCAUUAACACUUCCUGCAAACAA
ensembl:lncRNA